AACGAACGCUGGCGGCAGGCCUAACACAUGCAAGUCGAACGCAUCGCAAGAUGAGUGGCAGACAGGUGAGUAACGCGUGGGAACAUACCCUUUUCUACGGAAUAGCUCUGGGAAACUGGAAUUAAUACCGUAUACGCCCUACGGGGGAAAGAUUUAUCGGGGAAGGAUUGGCCCGCGUUGGAUUAGCUAGUUGGUGGGGUAAAGGCCUACCAAGGCGACGAUCCAUAGCUGGUCUGAGAGGAUGAUCAGCCACAUUGGGACUGAGACACGGCCCAAACUCCUACGGGAGGCAGCAGUGGGAAUAUUGGACAAUGGGCGCAAGCCUGAUCCAGCCAUGCCGCGUGAGUGAUGAAGGCCUUAGGGUUGUAAAGCUCUUUCACCGAUGAAGAUAAUGACGGUAGUCGGAGAAGAAGCCCCGGCUAACUUCGUGCCAGCCGCCGCAGUAA
rnacentral:rRNA from 1 species